CCUGAAAUAGUUGAUCCUUUCGGCGCGGCGGGCUGGGUGAGCGCUCACCACGAAAAAAGAGAGUCGUGCCUUACCUCCACUUCCGGCGAAGAUCUGAGAAGAGAAUACAGUACAACACUGUCAGCCCACAGACUGCGCUCGCAGCAUUAGACUUCGACUUCCGGAUCCCAGCCUCGCUGUGAGCGUACCCGGGGGCGGGGCUUAGGAUUGACAGCUCGCUCCCUCCCGUCCCUUCCCCGGGGCCGCGCUGGCCCCGCCUCCCGGACGCUCCGUAAGGAGAGUGAACUCCCUGAGACUAGGAGCCAUCUAUCUUCGCGCCCUCAGCAGGACCCAGCACAAGACUGGUACAAGGCACGCUUCAGCAAAUGUUUGUUAAACGGUUCUCAGGUGGUGGUGGUGGUGGUGGUGGUGGUGAUGAAGAAGAAGAAGAAGAAAAUGAUGAUGACGAUGAAGCUGCUGCUGCUGCUAGUCCAGGUUUUCUGUAUUCUUACUGGGUUUUUGUUGCUGUUGUUGUUCAUUUGAUCUGUCCUGGAAUGAGAAAGUAUUAAACAAGACUUCCAGUUCUAUGUUAAACAGUAGUUGGUGAGGGUAAGUAUCUAGUCUUAUUCUUAAUCUUCAAGGAAAUGCAUCUUAAGUUUCUCCAUUUUCUGCAAAGUAUGCUGUAAAAUUUUGGUAUGUAACCUUCACCAAGUUAAGAAAUUUGCCUUCUAUUCAUAUUUUUUAAAGAGUUUUCAUCGUAAGUAGGCAUGUAACAUAAUUUUCCUAUAUUAAUUGAGAUACUCAUAUGAUUAUUAUCCCUUAGUCUAUUCAUGUGGUAAAUUACAUUGAUAGAUUUUUCUGAGUUUGAAUGCAUUCUCCUUGCAUUCUUGGAAUUAACUCCAUUUGAUUGUGAUGUAUUUUUUAAAUACUGUUGGAUUCGAUUAGCUAAUAUUUAAUUUACGAUUUAUGCAUCUAUAUUCAUAAGUGAAAUGAGCCUAUAAUUUUCUUUAAUUGUCCUUAUCUGUUUUUAAAAUCAAGACUUCAAGAUUUUACUAGACAAAUAAAAUGAACUAGGCAGCUUUCUCUCCUUUUCUAUUUUCUGGAAUAACUUGUAUAAGAAGAGAAGUAACUCCUGAGAGUCCCGCACACUAUACCUGUAAAUCCAUCUGGGCCUGGAUUUGGGGGGAAGCGAUGUCCUUACCUACCAUUUCAGUUUCAUUAAUGCCUAGUGGUCUAUUCACGUUCUCUACUUCCUAUGCCAUUUUUAUCACUUUAUAUUUUUCUAGGAAAAAAACUUUAUCUAGAUGUUUUCAAUUAUUUCUGUCUAGUACCUAGCAGUCAGGUUUCUGGCUUGAGUACUUGGUGGUGCCUUCACAGAGAGGGGGGCACAAGAGGAGCGGCAUGUCUGUUAUUUGGGGGCCAGAGGAAGUUUGGCUACCUCUACACUUUCAGCAAAGCAAUGGCUAUAUGUGAUUCUCUGUUGCUUUGGAUAUUUGUGAUUAUGUAUGAAUGUGCACACUUCUAUAAAGGUGUGUUUUUUAUACAUGAUGCUCUGGUGUGUUUCUGUUUAUAUGAAAAUGUCAGGCUGAAAAAGAACAAUUUUUCUAUGUAAUUAUUUUUCUGUAUCUGUUUGCAUGGGUCCGUGAGCUGUGAUGGGGGUAUUUCCAUGGUUCUCUCAAUGUCCCUGUGUACAUCAGCAUCUCUGCCAGCUGGUAAUUCAUUCUGUGUGCUUUUCCAUGUCUUGGAGUGUCUGCAACUGUGAGGGUUCUUGAUUCUAUGUGUAUCUAUAUGUCUCUGCACAUGUCUGCAUCUCUGAGGGUGGGGGAUUAUGUAUGCAUCUCUGUGUUUUACUGUAGAAAUAUAUGUAUGCAGUGCACAUGCUACGUGGCAAGUUCAGACUCUCCAAGUCUGGAAGAAACAUUACAACAGGAAAUGCUCUGGAUUCCAGCUUCCGGAUGGAAUUUCACUCAGAAAAAUACCCCUUCCUGGUCCUCCCAAUAACUGCAGCAUUCUUUGUCUUUCUUGAAGAGGCUGAGUUGAGGGGGUUUAUGCUAACCUUGACCUCAGAGGCCACGUCGUUCAGGAGGAUUUGGCAGAGCCAUGAAAUUCCACACCCUGCCACUUGCCUCUUGCCAGGCCUACUGCUUCCUCCUAAACCCUUUUAUAGCUCCACAUUAUCUACCAGACCAAUUCCAAUCUAAAUUGUCCAGAGAGGCCAGAAGAAGACACAGGGAGAUGAGGAGAAAGAAACAGAAUAAGAUUUUUAUAAAGAAAUAGAUAAACAAAGAUAGAUAUGGGAACAGGGGGAUAGAGAAAUGAGAACAAGGAUAUAAAGAGACAGAGACCAAGAAAUAGGGCCUGAAUGAUAGGAACAGAUAGUCAGAAUGGUGAUAAAGAAGCAAAGAAGUUUGGGGACAGAGAGAUAUACAGACAGAUGGAAUGGGCAGGGUAGAAAAAGAGGGACUGACAGAAAUGAGGCUGGAAUGUAGGGAGAGAGAGAGAUGGGGACAGAGACACAGAUUGGGGUCAGAAAGGCAGUUACGUAAAACAUGAGGAUAGAGACACAGAGAUGAUAACAGCCAGGUGGAUAGAGAGAGACACAGAUGAUAACAGCCAGGUAGAUAAAGAGAGUGACUGGGAUUAGAUAGACAAAGAUAGAAACGGAGAUGGUGUUGAGGAGGAAGAGGUUGAUGAUAUAGAAGUUAAUAUUUUUUAAGUGAAGUAUAGUUGAUUUACAAUGUUUCAGGUGUACAGCAAAGUGAUUCAAUUAUAUAUAUAUGUAAAUAUAUAGGUAUAUAAAGUCUUUUUCAUAUUCUUUUCCAUUAUAGGUUAUUACAAGAUAUUGAAUACAGUUCCCUGUGCUAUAGUAGGUCCUUGUUAUUUAUUUUUAGGAGCUAAUAUUUUUGAGCAUUUCUUAUAUUUGAGGCAUGGUUCUAUAAGCUGUACAUGUGUUAGUUCAUUUAAUGCUCUUGGUAACACUGAAGCAGGUACUGUUAUCAGCCCUGUUUUACAGAUGAGGACACUGAGGCACAGCAAGUCAGCAGCACAACUAGGAUUGGAAUCCAAACAAUCUAACACCAGAGGCCAUACUCUUGACUACUCUGUCAGUGACAGAGAGAUACAGACAGACAAGGAUCUGGGGACAAGAUGGCAAACAGAUGAAACACACAUAGGGACAGAAAGAUGGAAACAAGAGACAGGCACAUGAGGAGAGCCACCCAGCAAGAGAGAUGGUAACAGAGGUAGAAAAGGGGUGAUAGAUGAGGAGAGACUCAAAGAGGGAAACAAGGGCAAGAAGACCAACAUAGGGGUAUGUGUGUGAGAGAGAAACAAAGGGAAUGUAAAUGUUAGUUGUGAGGGGGUGGGAGGCUGGGGUGAAGACAGAGACUGGAACAGAAAGGUGAGAAUAGAAAUAGAGAAAGAUAGGUGGGGAACAGAGACGGAUGAAUGCAGCAACAUAAAUACAAAGAUGAGAACUGGGAGACAGGCAGAGAUAAGAUAAAUAGGUACAGAGUGUUGGAGACAGGGGGGUGGACAGAAAAGAGGCCAAGGAGCCAAAGGAAAUUGAAAGAGAAGCAGAAAAGACAGAAAUUUUGGAACACAGAUUCAGAAACAGAUGAGGUAGAGUAAUAUGGUAUUAUAUAUGUGAGGAUGGAGACACAGACCAAGAGGAGAACCAUAAGUUAGAUGGGGACAGGAUGGAGACAAGGCAACCCCCAACAGAGGCAAUGGAGAGAGAGUGAGAGCAAGAGCAAGAAGGGGAGAGAUUGAGAGAGAAUAGGAGAGAUAGGAAAGAGAAACCACCAGAGAGAUGUAAACAGAAAGACAAGAGAGAGCAAAAUAAGAGAGAUGGGAGACAUCUGAAAGGUGGUGACAGUGAUGGUGAACUGGGGUGACAGUAAAAAAUAAAAGAAAUAGAGGCACAGAAUGAAAUAAUUUUGAUUCAACAACCACUCACAAGUCUUGGAUAUAUCAGGGCUGGCACUGGGCCGUGUGGUACCCAAUAGGCUGUGAGCUCAGGAAGGCAGGGCCUGGGCCUUUGUUAUGCAAUACUGUAUCCUCCACCUACAGUAUACUCCCAAUCAUGUGGAGGGCUACCAUUUAUUAAACAUUAGGUACUGGGGACUGUGCAUGCGUUUCAUGGAUUAUGUUAUUGAAUCCUCACAACUCUGAUGUAGUAGGUAUUAUUAUCAUCCCCAGUUUACAGAUGGGGAAACUGAGACUUAGAGCAAUGAGUAACUUACCCAGGGUCACACAGAGGAGCUAGGAGUGAAGCCCCAGCCUGGACCAAUGGUAGAGUAUGUCAUGAACCAAGGAUUAGGAUGAACCCUGUUCUUUCUGUACACCCAAGGUGCAAAAAAUCAAAUUCCAGUCUGCCUGCCUCCAAGGCCUACAUGUUUGACCACCAUACCACACUGCUCCAGUGAAGACUCACUCACAGACUAAUGGAAGACUGCUGAACCAAGAAAAAUGAUCUUAUCUCAUGCUUCAGUGACAAAAUAAAAGCCAUCAGACAUGGGAGAAUUGUUCCAGGACCUUCAUCUUCCCACCACUGAAUCUCUAAACCUCCCAGUAUCUGUAUUCAUCUUUUGUUUCAUUCCUUCCUGUUACAAUGAAGGGCCUGAGGACCUCUCCUCUCUGAGGCCCAGUGCCUCAGAUCCCAGCUCCUCCUUUCCCUUCCAUUAUUCCCUUUCUCUUCUGUGUUGCCAUCCAGUCCCUCUCUAUGGUCUCUGGGUCUUUCCCAGCAGCAAACAAGCAUAGUCUAGUAUCUCCCAUCUUAGAAAAAUCAUUCUUUGCCCCUCCUCCUACCAUCACCUUAGCUCUCUGGGCUCUGUUCCCAUUCACAGCCAUGUUUCACAAGGAAAUCGCCUACACACCUAGCUCCACUUCAGCAGGAUCGGGGGCAGUGUUUUAUUCCCUCUGACCUCAGGGAGGGUCCUGUAACAAUCUACCCUCCCACCAGCACUCUAUCCAAUUAUUCCUGCUUUUUAAAUUUUAUUUAUUUUUCAUGAUAAUACAUUAUAAAUUUUAUAAUAUACAUAUCUGUACAGUUCGAAUAAAUUAUAAAACAAAUACCUAUGUACCUGUACCCAUCACCCAGCUUCAAAAACAAAUCAUUUCUGAAUGACAAAACCCGCCAUGUAGCCCUCCCCAGUCACAUCUCCUUCCCCUCCCUGAGGUAACCAGUGUCAUUUUUCAUGCCUUGCUUUUUUGUAUGGUUUUACAACAUAUUACUGCAUCCAUAUAUUGUAUAAUUUUGACUGUUGUUCAACUUUAUAUAAACAUUCUUUCAUGACUUUUUUGAAUCAGUAUUAGGUUUCCUGAGUUUUAUCCAUGUUGAUACAUGUAGCUGGAGUUCAUUCAUUUAUUUAAUUAUAGUAUUCCAUUGUAUAAAUAUGUCUCAAUUUAUUCAUCUUAUUUUCUUGUUUCUGUUUCUUGCUGUUU